GAAUCUUGUUGCAAGUUCAGCCCAGCAAUUCCAGUCCACGAGCCAACAAUUCGGUCCAUUCAAUUGCAACUCAGCCCGUUGGAUUUCAGCCCAAGUUUCAAGCCCAUCUUGGGCCCGCAAAGCAGGCCCAGCCGCAACCAAGCCCAAGUCCGAAGCCAAGCCCAGCAUUUGCUGUGGGCUUGCAAGGCCUUUGGGCCUGGCCCGAGUAUUUGCCGACAUUGUUGAAAAUUCGGAUUUCGGCCGUUGUCGCGCCGUUGUCACGGUGAACCAGUUUCCGCAAUUAACUGGGUUGUCGAGUGGAGGACCGGGAGCCGAGAGGAGGUGAUGUGAAGUGUACGUCAGCUAGGACCGUCUCUUUUUGGAAAGUUAGUUUUUGUGGCCUUUUGGUCAUAGACCUUGUACUUGACAUUAUGUGAAUAUAAAAGCAUGCUUGUUUGUGAAUUC